rnacentral:rRNA from 1 species
UACGUAGGUGUCAAGCGUUGUCCGGAUUUAUUGGGCGUAAAGCGCCCGCAGGCGGCUUGCCAAGUUCGAUGUGAAAUCUCCCGGCUCAACUGGGAGGGUGCAUCGAAAACUGGCAGGCUUGAGGCAGGGAGAGGGAUGUGGAAUUCCAGGUGUAGUGGUGAAAUGCGUAGAUAUCGGAAGGAACAUCAGUGGCGAAGGCGACUUUCUGGACUGUUACUGACACUGAGGCACGAAAGCGUGGAGAGCGAACAGG